rnacentral:rRNA from 1 species
UACGAAGGGGGCGAGCGUUGUUCGGAAUUACUGGGCGUAAAGGGCGCGCAGGCGGUCCUUCAAGUCAGAUGUGAAAGCCCCGGGCUCAACCUGGGAACAGCAUUUGAGACUGGAGGACUUGAGGACGGGAGAGGAGAGUGGAAUUCCCAGUGUAGAGGUGAAAUUCGUAGAUAUUGCUCGGAAGGCCGGAGCCGAAGGGGCCCCACUGGUACGUAACUGACGCUGAGGCACGAAAGCGUGGGGAGCAAACAGG